rnacentral:rRNA from 1 species
GACGGACGCUGGCGGCGUGCUUAACACAUGCAAGUCGAACGGAAAGGCCCUGCUUUUGUGGGGUGCUCGAGUGGCGAACGGGUGAGUAACACGUGAGUAACCUGCCCUUGACUUUGGGGUAACUUCAGGAAACUGGGGCUAAUACCGGAUAGGAGCUCCUGCUGCAUGGUGGGGGUUGGAAAGUUUCGGCGGUUGGGGAUGGACUCGCGGCUUAUCAGCUUGUUGGUGGGGUAGUGGCUUACCAAGGCUUUGACGGGUAGCCGGCCUGAGAGGGUGACCGGCCACAUUGGGACUGAGAUACGGCCCAGACUCCUACGGGAGGCAGCAGUGGGGAAUAUUGCACAAUGGGCGGAAGCCUGAUGCAGCAACGCCGCGUGCGGGAUGACGGCCUUCGGGUUGUAAACCGCUUUCGCCUGUGACGAAGCGUGAGUGACGGUAAUGGGUAAAGAAGCACCGGCUAACUACGUG